rnacentral:tRNA from 1 species
GCUCCCAUAGUCUAGCCCGGCCAAGGAUGUCGGCCUUUCGAGCCGAAGACUCGGGUUCGAAACAAUCUUUUUCUUUUCAAAUCCCGAUGGGAGCA